CCUGGGAUUAGAUACCCCACUAUGCUUUGCCCUAACAUUGAUAGUUUUAUACAACCACUAUCCGCCUGGGAACUACGAGCAAUAGCUUAAAACCCAAAGGACUUGGCGGUGCUUUAGACCCACCUAGAGGAGCCUGUUCUAAAACCGAUAACCCCCGUUCAACCUCACCUUUCCUUGUUCUCCCCGCCUAUAUACCGCCGUCGCCAGCUUACCCUAUGAAGGCCCUUUAGUAAGCACAAUUGGUACAGCCCAAAACGUCAGGUCGAGGUGUAGCGUAUGGAAAGGGAAGAAAUGGGCUACAUUUCCUGUUACAGUGAAAUUUACGGAUAAUACCACUGAAACGUGUAUCUAGAAGGAGGAUUUAGCAGUAAGCAGAAAAUAGAGCGUUCUGCUGAAACUGGCUCUGAAGCGCGCACACACCGCCCGUCACCCCUCA
rnacentral:rRNA from 1 species